GAGGGGCCCGCACAAGCGGUGGAGGAUGUGGUUUAAUUCGACGCAACGCGAAGAACCUUACCAGGGCUUGACAUCCCCUGACCGCGUAUGAAAGUACGUUUUCACCCUCGGGUGACAGGGAGACAGGUGGUGCAUGGUUGUCGUCAGCUCGUGUCGUGAGAUGUUGGGUUAAGUCCCGCAACGAGCGCAACCCCUACGUUUAGUUGCUAACGCGUGAAGGCGAGCACUCUAGACGAACUGCCGUUGACAAAACGGAGGAAGGUGGGAUGACGUCAAAUCAUCAUGCCCCUUAUGACCUGGGCUACACACGUGCUACAAUGGUUGGUACAACGAGUUGCGAGUCGGUGACGGCGAGCUAAUCUCUUAAAGCCAAUCUCAGUUCGGAUUGUAGGCUGCAACUCGCCUACAUGAAGUCGGAAUCGCUAGUAAUCGCGGAUCAGCAUGUCACGGUGAAUACGUUCCCGGGUCUU
rnacentral:rRNA from 1 species